GAGUAACGAGUACAAUGGAUUCCUGUAUGAUGAAAUGCAGGGCGUUGCCGUAGUAAGCUCUACCCUCCUGGCUAUGGACAAGAAACAGAAACCCUUCACUAGACGACCCUGCAUUGCUACGUUCAAGAUCAGCGGUUUUGACUGUGCACUGGUAAGUGUACAUCAGAAGGCAACCGGUCUAGAGAAUGAGGACAUCGGUCGACUGCAGGCAGAGAUUGACAAUAUCCCCAACCUUAUAUAGGCCAUUAGGACCGCUCUGCCAGGGGAAAAUGAUAUUAUACUGCUUGGUGACUUUAACCUGUCUCCAGGCACCAAAGAUUUUGAUGAUCUUCGAGAUCUAGGCUAUCACAAUUGUAUUGCGGACGGUGUCUUCACAAACAUGAGCGACGCCAACAUAAAAGGCAGCAAGACAUACGAUAAUAUCUGGAUAUCUAAACAGACAAAACAAGUGUUCACUGGUCAAUGUGACGUCGUGAGAGAGGGCCUGUCCAGUCCCUGGAUCCCUAAGGGCUGGACGUGGGGCGGGGUCGUGAGUGACCACUGUCCAGCGUGGGCCCAGUUCUACACGGGCCGUGACCUUGACACUGGAGACCUGAAGAUCGGACCAGAGGUUAUUAAAUUUGCACUGACUGACUGAUGUUUUGUAAAAGAUUAGAAAAUUACACGUGUUACUCUGGUUAUGUGACUGACAUCACUGAUAUCGAAUUGGUGAUGCAAUUCUUCAAACAGUAAACAGUGAAAAUAUUCCACACUUUUCAUUAUGUUAUUGCUGUGAAAAUCGCCAUUGAAACUGCUUUAAAAUGGAAGCCAAUAAUAAACUCAUCAGACAAAAUUAACCAGCGAUUGAACAUUUUUGUGUUUUAAUAUCAGAAAUAUUCUCUUGGUCAAAUGUUAACAAUUUAUUUAGCAAAUGUGUUCAACAUGUUAUGGUACAUGAAGUUUGGAGAUGUUGAUGUUAUUUUAUGUUUUGAUGUAGUGCUGAUUUCACAUUAGGUGUACCAUUCUUGGGAAUGUGGAAAAUAGUGAAUGCCACAUUUGUUUUUAAGUAGAUUUUGUGUUCCUUGUUAUUGUAAAACGCUCUAUUCACAACAUAUGAACCAAUUAACCAUCUUUUAUUACUUACACGUGAAUGUCUACCGGUAAUUAUAAUUCUUAAAAGUUUUGCUUUAAUGUCAGAAAUAUUUUGUAUAAUUCUUAUUUCAAUACAGCUUACAAUACUAAUUAGAUUGUGCUAAUAUAAUUGAAUACACAAAACAAAUUAUAUUAAUAAUAUUAUCAACAUUUGAUAACGUAUUGUUUUAACUUUGAUAUAGCAUUUCUGCUCAAUUUCACCAUUCUUGGGAAUGUGGAAAAUAGUGAAUGUCACUUUUGUUUUUAAGUAGUUUGUGUGUUCCUUGUUAUAGUAAAACGCUCUAUUCACAACAUAUGAACAAAUAAACCAUCUUUAAUUACUUGCACAUGAAUGUUUACGGUAAUUAUAAUUGUUAUAAGUUUUGCCUUAACGUCAGAAAUAUUUUGUAUAAUUCUUAUUUCAUUGUAGCUAGCAAAACCAUUUAGAUUGUGUUGAUAUGUUUGAAUACACAAAACAAAUUAUAUUUAUUAUAUUAUCAAAAUUUGAUAAGGUUUUGUUGUUUAACUUUGAUAUAACAUUUCUGCUGAAUUUCACCAGUUUGUAUUAUUACUUGCUCCAUUUUAAUAAUUUAAUAAUCAAAAUAUUUUAUGAAAGCAUUUUUCAAUUGUGAAUUGUGAAGUUUUAAUUUUAUGCAGUGCAGUGUACAGCGGAAAAUCCAAUUUUUUUAAUGAAGCACCCGUUUAAUGCAUAAUUGUCAUCAUUUAUUUGAUCCUGUGUAUUUAAUAUUUAUAAAUUAUAUUAUGUAUUAAUGAAAUCUGUAAUAAUAUAUAUAUAGUUCCCUGUAUGAAUUUGUUAUAGAUUAAAAUAAAAUGUUUUGUUACAUUUGGGAAUAUUUCAUAGACCACCAUGUUUUUGUUUGUUUAAAUUAAUUGUAUACAUUGUUGUAUUUUGAACAAUAUUAACAUUAGUAUUAAAUGAGCGUCUAGCAAUUGCAAAAAGUAUGUAUCGGGAUAAACUUACUGUAUUUGGGUUCAUUUACAUUCAAGUAGAACAAGUAGAAUGCAUUUUUUAAGGUGUUUAUUAUUAGUAUAUAGGGUAGGACUUUAAGAUAAUAUGAUUUUCAAUAAUGUAGUUGUAUUUUGCUUUUGUUUGUUAUUGCUAAAUAAAAAAUAGAGUUUGAUAUAGAUAAUACUGGGACAAUGCUACAUAUAUAUGCCUAACAGAAUGUGUCCUGCAUUUAGAAAGUGACUUAAUAUAAACAUACUUGAGCUGUGAUUUGGAAAAAUAUGUAUUCAAUACAUGUGCGUAUAGGAUUGUCCCAUAUGAGUCUUAUGAAGUCUACGAGCGCUAAUAAGGGACGACAGUUUCUCUUGCUUUUAUUACAUUUCAGUCUUCAGAAGUAAAUUAGGGGCCAUUCGUUAUAGGUCAAUAUUUAUGCAUCUAAAACUUGAGAAUAAGCAGCAACAGUUUAUGUUCUUUGAUCAAUUACUUAUGAUUGAAUUGAGAUAAUGUGCUGAAGAUUUGUGGAAGUGUAUACCCAGCUUACAUACCCUACCUGGAUUCCAUUUCGAGCCAGUUGGGUUAAAGUCUAUGUCACUAUUAUUAAAAUUAGACAAACUACACUCAGUAACACCGCUUUUAUAUUAGGGUAUUGUUCCUAAAUUGUAUGAAUUGUUAGCUCACUGCUUUUAUAUUAGGGUAUUGUUCCUAAAUUGUAUGAACUGUUAGCUCACCGCUUUUAUAUAAGGGUAUUGUUCCUAAAUUGUAUGAACUGUUAGCUCACCGCUUUUAUAUUAGGGUAUUGUUCCUAAAUUGUAUGAAUUGUUAGCUCACCGCUUUUAUAUUAGGGUAUUGUUCCUAAAUUGUAUGAAUUGUUAGCUCACCGCUUUUAUAUAAGGGUAUUGUUCCUAAAUUGUAUGAAUUGUUAGCUCACUGCUUUAAUAUUAGGGUAUUGUUCCUAAAUUGUAUGAAUUGUAAGCUCACCGCUUUUAUAUUAGGGUAUUGUUCCUAAAUUGUAUGAAUUGUUAGCUCACCGCUUUUAUAUUAGGGUAUUGUUCCUAAAUUGUAUGAAUUGUUAGCUCACCGCUUUUAUAUAAGGGUAUUGUUCCUAAAUUGUAUGAAUUGUUAGCUCACCGCUUUUAUAUUAGGGUAUUGUUCCUAAAUUGUAUGAAUUGUUAGCUCACCGCUUUUAUAUGAGGGUAUUGUUCCUAAAUUGUAUGAAUUGUUAGCUCACCGCUUUUAUAUGAGGGUAUUGUUCCUAAAUUGUAUGAAUUGUUAGCUCACCGCUUUUAUAUUAGGGUAUUGUUCCUAAAUUGUAUGAAUUGUUAGCUCACCGCUUUUAUAUUAGGGUAUUGUUCCUAAAUUGUAGAAUUGUUAGCUCACCGCUUUUAUAUGAGGGUAUUGUUCCUAAAUUGUAUGAAUUGUUAGCUCACCGCUUUUAUAUUAGGGUAUUGUUCCUAAAUUGUAUGAAUUGUUAGCUCACCGCUUUUAUAUUAGGGUAUUGUUCCUAAAUUGUAUGAAUUGUUAGCUCACCGCUUUUAUAUUAGGGUAUUGUUCCUAAAUUGUAUGAAUUGUUAGCUCACCGCUUUAAUAUUAGGGUAUUGUUGCUAAAUUGUAUGAAUUGUUAGCUCACCGCUUUUAUAUUAGGGUAUUGUUCCUAAAUUGUAUGAAUUGUUAGCUCACCGCUUUUAUAUUAGGGUAUUGUUCCUAAAUUGUAUGAAUUGUUAGCUCACCGCUUUUAUAUUAGGGUAUUGUUGCUAAAUUGUAUGAAUUGUUAGCUCACCGCUUUUAUAUUAGGGUAUUGUUGCUAAAUUGUAUGAAUUGUUAGCUUACGUGUAGACCUAGCUUGGGAAAACUAGAUACAAGUCAAAGUCACUGUAAGUUAAUUAAAAACUUCCGCUUACAAAACUUAAAUUGUAUGAAGAAUUUCCGCUGUUUUUUGUAGGUGUAAGUAGAUUCCACGCAGUCUUAGGUGAUGUAAGCGUGUAUUUCAAUCCCUCUGACACCUUACAUGUAAAACAGAAUUAGUUUGCAUUAUAAUUAAUGGAGUCUUAUAAUGUGAGCAUAUUGUUCCUACUGAAAAUGUUUGUAAGGACAGUGUAAAUUGCAAAAUAUUGUUACUUGUCUUUUAUUCAAGAAAAUACUGUGGGUAUACCACGUACACUAUUUUAUGUAUGGACCCACCUUUUGUCUUCUUGAUCUCGACUGCUCAGUAUACAUGUUUUCCUUAUACUUAUUUCUUAUUGCAUUUGAUAAAUAUUGUAUUGAUGAGGAAGAUCAAAUGUUCAUUAUACUGUCUUGAACAAGUUUAGGUUACAGCUAAUUUCAUAAAACAAAAUUGCCACAUAUUAAUGCAUAGUUUAUUAUGUAACAUGAAACUUUUCUAUGUGUCAUAAAAUACAACAGUGUACGAAACCAAUUUGCCAAAACACUUUUAUUUUAAUUUCUAAAUCUUGUAAUAUAUAAAUGCGUGUCUUUUGUGACACUAUAUUAUGUUGGCAAUGUAUGCUUAUUAGUUUCUAUUAAACGCAAAUGUUAUUAUUUAUUUAAAAAAAGACUAAUAAUAAAUAAUGUAAACAAUUUACUUUUUUGAU